rnacentral:rRNA from 1 species
GCGGUCGCUCUGGUUGUUCCUGCCGGAGGUUACUGCUAUCGGUGUUCGCCUAAGCCAUGUGAGUCAUAUGUAGCAAUACAUGGCGUACUGCUCAGUAACACGUGGAUAACCUGCCCUUGGGUCUGGCAUAACCCCGGGAAACUGGGGAUAAUUCCGGACAACGCACAUAUGCUGGAAUGCUUUAUGCGUGAAAUGGAUUCGCCUGCCCASAGGAUGGGUCUGCGCCCUAUCAGGUAGUAGUGGGUGUAAUGUACCUACUAGCCUACGACGGGUACGGGUUGUGAGAGCAAGAGCCCGGAGAUGGAUUCUGAGACAUGAAUCCAGGCCCUACGGGGCGCAGCAGGCGCGAAAACUUUACAAUGCGGGAAACCGUGAUAAAGGGACACCGAGAGCCAGCAUCCUAUGCUGGCUGUCCAGGUGUGUAAAAUACACCUGUUAGCAAGGGCCGGGCAAGACCGGUGCCAGCCGCUGCGGUAACGCCGGCGGCCCGAGUGGUGAUCGUGAUUAUUGGGUCUAAAGGGUCCGUAGCCGGUUUGGUCAGUCCUCCGGGAAAUCUGACAGCUUAAUCUGUUAGGCUUUCGGAGGAUACUGCCAGACUUGGAACCGGGAGAGGUAAGAGGUACUACAGGGGUAGGAGUGAAAUCCUGUAAUCCCUGUGGGACCACCUGUGGCGAAGGCGUCUUACCAGAACGGGUUCGACGGUGAGGGAUGGAAGCUGGGGGCACGAACCGGAUUAGAUACCCGGGUAGUCCCAGCCGUAAACGAUGCUCGCUAGGUGUCAGGCAUGGCGCGACCGUGUCUGGUGCCGCAGGGAAGCCGUGAAGCGGGCCACCUGGGAAGUACGGCCGCAAGGCUGAAACUUAAAGGAAUUGGCGGGGGGGCACAACAACGGGUGGAGUCUGCGGUUUAAUUGGACUCAACGCCGGACAACUCACCGGGGGCGACAGCAAAAUGUAGGCCAGGCUGAAGACCUUGCCUGAAUCGCUGAGAGGAGGUGCAUGGCCGUCGCCAGUUCGUACUGUGAAGCAUCCUGUUAAGUCAGGCAACGAGCGAGACCC